UACGAAGGGGACUAGCGUUGUUCGGAAUCACUGGGCGUAAAGGGCGCGUAGGCGGCUUGAUAAGUCGGGGGUGAAAUCCUGUGGCUCAACCACAGAAUUGCCUUCGAUACUGUCGAGCUUGAGACCGGAAGAGGUAAGUGGAACUGCGAGUGUAGAGGUGAAAUUCGUAGAUAUUCGCAAGAACACCCGUGGCUAAGGCGGUUCUCUAGUACGGUACUGACGCUGAGACGCGAAAGCGUGGGGAGCGAACAGG
rnacentral:rRNA from 1 species